UCUCCUGGAAACGGGUGGUAAUGCCGGAUGCUCCAUCACACCGCAUGGUGUGUUGGGAAAGCCUUUGCGGCAUGGGAUGGGGUCGCGUCCUAUCAGCUUGAUGGCGGGGUAACGGCCCACCAUGGCUUCGACGGGUAGCCGGCCUGAGAGGGCGACCGGCCACAUUGGGACUGAGAUACGGCCCAGACUCCUACGGGAGGCAGCAGUGGGGAAUAUUGCACAAUGGGCGCAAGCCUGAUGCAGCGACGCCGCGUGAGGGAUGGAGGCCUUCGGGUUGUAAACCUCUUUUAUCAGGGAGCAAGGCUUCGGUUGAGUGUACCUGUUGAAUAAGCACCGGCUAACUACGUGCCAGCAGCCGCGGUAAUACGUAGGGUGCAAGCGUUAUCCGGAAUUAUUGGGCGUAAAGGGCUCGUAGGCGGUUCGUCGCGUCCGGUGUGAAAGUCCAUCGCUUAACGGUGGAUCCGCGCCGGGUACGGGCGGGCUUGAGUGCGGUAGGGGAGACUGGAAUUCCCGGUGUAACGGUGGAAUGUGUAGAUAU
rnacentral:rRNA from 1 species